GGGCACUUAGCUCAGCUGGUUUAGAGCGUCGCAUUUACACUGCGAAGGUCGGGGGUUCGAAUCCCUCAGUGCCCA
rfam:Candidatus Curtissbacteria bacterium RIFCSPHIGHO2_01_FTLL_41_13 rifcsphigho2_01_scaffold_12531, whole genome shotgun sequence.